UCUUUUGGGUUUUUUUUUACUCCACUUCCCUAAAAUAGUGACUCAUCGGCUCGUCUGUCAUUAUUGCUACAUGUUCCGCUGCCGAUCGUUUUGCAGUCACCGCUUCCACCGCCUUUGUCCAGGGAAGUAUUCCACUGAUAUGUAUUCUCCUACGUAGAUGUUCCUGUUUUCCAACAAUAGCUUCAUCUUCUAUGCUUUCUCCCAAAAUACCACCUACCUGACUAUUCGAUUGGACCUACACAAAGCGACCGCCUUUCUCUCCAUCUACCUCUACCAUCAACUGGUGCUUUCCCGUUUCCUUUGUCUUCACCGUGUUAUUAGGUUGGAUCCAUCGUCAAUCGGAAUCUAUUAGACACCGAACGCAGCGCCAUCGAUUCGAUUUUACAGUUGCAAACUCAAGAGGAAAUUGAAACACGAUGUUCACCAACGUAAUCGUUGCGUCUAACAUCGAAUGUACCCACCUAAUGAAUGCUUUCCACCAAUCUUCCACCGUCACCACCAAUCGAUCCCUUUACAAGCCAGGGUAACAUGAAAGACUCUUACAAUUUCUCCUGUGUUGUUGUGUGUUAACGAGAACGAAAAAAGGGGAACGCAGCCGUCGUCGGAGACUCUGGGAUGAAGAUGAACAGUUCGACGACGUUGCCAAAAACGGAUGCUUCGUCGCACGGAAUCUUUUACAUGAAGGCGAAUCCAAAAGAGGAAAAACCUCCUUAAUCAGAGAUGGCUAUGGCGGCUGCCUUCUGUAUACUGCUGCAUCUCUCCACGAUUGAUGUCUGGUGGUAUGAUUGCUCCGGUGAAGAUGUUUUGGGUUUUAGAGAUGUUCAAUGGUCAACUAUUUUAUACACGGCAGCUGCCAGAGGACAGAUUGAGGUUGAUUACAGCAAGAAGAGGCUUGCUAACGUGCUAGAAUAAGGAUGCAUUUCUCUAUAAAGCACUCACAACUUACGCAUCGACAUUAUUCUAUUGACUUUCGUAGGAAAGACUAUUGUCCAAUGUGUUCAGGAAUUUGAGAGAAAUGUUCAGGUUAUACAUUACACAAUAUAUGAUGUCAAUAUGUAAGGAUGAUGGAUUGAGAUUGCUCUCUUCUUUACGGAAAAGUGACAGCAUAUUAUAUCUCUCUCAUCGAGGUCAAAUGACAGAGGAUGAAUUCAUAUUGCACUUCUUUCAGUUCAAUGGUAAUUUCAUAACGUAUAUUUUUUAUGUUUACAUUUCUUUUUGAAGGAAUUGGAAUAUACAUAAAUCAAAAUCACACAUUUUUUUGGCAGAAAUGGGAUAUAAUUUAAUUCGAUUCCAUUCCUGUCCUAUUUCAUAUAAGUAAAUGAUUAAUAGGAAAAUUACUCUUUACCUACUUCGGUUGGGGUAUGGGACUUUUGUUGCUUCUCCAAUUACAGGCCAAUCUUCACCCAUUCCCAUCUCGUGUACACAUCAUUCCAGUAAUGAAGUCAGUGAAGCGGAUGCAAGUUCAUACACAUUUCCAGAGUAUAGUGACUUCAGCGGCUGGUGUCAAAGUCGGAUGAAAGAGGGUGCAAUGGGAGUGAAUUCUAUUUUGAUAUACAGGAAUUCAUGCAUUUCACCAACAAUAAUCGUCAUUCUGAUGUACAAAAACCCCAUUUCAAUAUCAUGAUGAGAUUGAGGCACCAGAUUUUCCAUUUUGUAUCAACAUUGCAGCAAUAUGUUCAGUCUCAGUUAUCACAUGUAUCCUGGUGUAGAUUUCUACAUUCUCUUAAGCAUAAGGUUAAGGAUUUAACAGAUCUUGACAUUGUCCAUAUGGAUAAUCUCAAUGAUUCACAACGCAUCUGAGAUUAUUCAAAUCAUUUUGCAAUGUGCAUUGGACUUCAGAUCUUUUGUUGUGCCAAACAAAUCAGCUGUCAACAUUGCUCAGGUCAUUUUUUACUGUCUUCAUUUAUUAAUUAUUUUCUAUUUUUGUAUUAUUAGUGAUUAAAUAGGUGGGUGGGCUGAUCUUGGUAUUGAUGCUGGGAAAUAUGCACAUGAACUUAUGUCAAAUUCAGUAAGUACAAUGCAAGAUGAACCUAAAGGGUUUGUUGAUCCUGCUAAGGUUUUGGAGAAAACUUACACAAUCACUAAAGCUAAAGGAUUCUCAACUGCUUGCAUUAUUAAACUCUCAAAUCAGGGUCUUGAGGCUAUCAACUUGGCUUGAAAAUCUAACAUUUUCACUUCUUCUUAAAAUGGUGAACAUGGUAUGGUGGGUGGAAUUAUAACAACUAGGAUGGAUUAUGAAUUACCAUGGCAUGAAAAAAAGCUGAAACCUAAAAAGCCUAGGAUAAGGGCGAUGGACGCACAUACAGAAAAAGAGAGGCUUGCCAUUUCGGAUGUUGGCUGAACAUGAAAGAGCCUUCUACCAUUAAACCAAUUUUUUACAUCUCCAUGAUUUUAGUUUUUAUUUAUAUAUUCAUCUCUUUUGGUGAUUGGUGCAACUAUGCUACAUAUUUAACCAUUAGUCACACUCCAACAAACUUCUUUCAAAGAAAAACGACCCUUAUAUGUAUAUGUGAUCAGGGUUGGUCUACAAAUGAAUUUAAAUUAAAUGCAAAAAAAUUAUAUUUUAUGCA